GGGGGUGCACUGGCUUCGACGGGGGUAGCGAAAUCGCACGGCGCAUGCCGAGGGGGUAGCUUUCCUCGUAAAUCCAGCUGCAAAACUCUAGUUGCCAACGACGACAACUACGCUCUGGCCGCUUAAGGCCUAGCCCCGAACCCACUUGUGCCUGUGCUCGUGGAUGUAGGGUCAUCAUCACAGGAUAGGUUCCGGCGGCGACCCGCCAACCGGAUCCAAAAUUUAGCGGGUGUGGAUGACGGCGUGCUUCGCACGGUGUGUUGCCGGCAUUCGAGACCAAACACCGCGCUAAGCAUGUAGUGCCGGGCAUGGAGCAUCUUCGGACGGGGGUUCAAUUCCCCCCACCUCCACCA
rnacentral:tmRNA from 1 species